rnacentral:rRNA from 1 species
AUUGAACGCUGGCGGAAUGCUUUACACAUGCAAGUCGAGCGGCAGCGCGGGGGCAACCCUCGCGGCGAGCGGCGAACGGGUGAGUAAUACAUCGGAACGUGUCCUUGAGUGGGGGAGUAGCUCGGCGAAAGCCGGAUUAAUACCGCAUAAGCUCUGAGGAGGAAAGCGGGGGACUGGUAACGGCCUCGCGCUGUUGGAGCGGCCGAUGUCGGAUUAGCUAGUUGGGUGGGGAAAGGCCCACCCAAGGCGACGAUCCGUAGCUGGUCUGAGAGGAUGAUCAGCCACACUGGAACUGAGACACGGUCCAGACUCCUACGGGAGGCAGCAGUGGGGAAUUUUGGACAAUGGGGGCAACCCUGAUCCAGCCAUUCCGCGUGAGUGAAGAAGGCCUCGG